rnacentral:tRNA from 21 species
GCCGCUUUAGCUCAGUUGGUAGAGCAGCUGUCUUGUAAACAGCAGGUCGUCGGUUCGAGUCCGACAAGCGGCUCCA